GUGACAUCACAGAAGAUUACAGACAGGAGUUGGGCCGGAUCUCCUGUCUCUCUGAUUAAUACCUUGGCAGAAGGCCAACUGCAAUGCAGGAAUGCAGAGGAGCAUCCGGGAAGCCAGUAGUCUACUGUCUUCAAAUCUCGGCAGUAGUCUUCCAGAACCUGCUGUAGAUAGAGACCAAUGUAGACAAACUGUUACUGAUCUUCAACAGGAGAGAUCAGUGAACCCUGGGUAAAAUGAGCAAACCACCUGACAAUUACAGAAUUCAUGCCUGUCCAUGGCUAUACUGCACUGCUUCUUCCAGACAAACCUCUAAACCGACUGUUAGUCUGCAAGUUAUUUAACAAAUGAGAACCAAAACAGCUUCUUCAAAAAUAAACUUACUGAAGAUCUACA